CUACGGGAUGCACCAGUGGGGAAUACCGCACAAUGGGCGCAAGCCUGAUGCAGCGACGCCGCGUGAAGGAUGAAGUAUUUCGGUAUGUAAACUUCUAUCAGCAGGGAAGAAAAUGACGGUACCUGACUAAGAAGCCCCGGCUAACUACGUGCCAGCAGCCGCGGUAAUACGUAGGGGGCAAGCGUUAUCCGGAUUUACUGGGUGUAAAGGGAGCGUAGAUGGCGUGGCAAGUCUGAAGUGAAAGCCCGGGGCUCAACCCCGGGACUGCUUUGGAAACUGUCAUGCUAGAGUGCAGGAGGGGCAGGCGGAAUUCCUAGUGUAGCGGUGAAAUGCGUAGAUAUUAGGAGGAACACCAGUGGCGAAGGCGGCCUGCUGGACUGUAACUGACAUUGAGGCUCGAAAGCGUGGGGAGCAAACAGGAUUAGAUACCCGGGUAGUC
rnacentral:rRNA from 1 species